rnacentral:rRNA from 1 species
UACGUAGGGGGCAAGCGUUGUCCGGAAUCAUUGGGCGUAAAGAGCGCGUAGGCGGUCCGGUAAGUCAGCUGUGAAAGUCAAGGGCUCAACCCUUGAAAGCCGGUUGAUACUGUCGGGCUAGAGUCCGGAAGAGGCGAGUGGAAUUCCCGGUGUAGCGGUGAAAUGCGCAGAUAUCGGGAGGAACACCAAUGGCGAAGGCAGCUCGCUGGGACGGUACUGACGCUGAGGCGCGAAAGCGUGGGAGCGAACAGG